CGCUGAACAAAUGACGAUCGCAAUUCGACCGUUACGGAUUUACGCGUGAGACUAAACUUGUGAAUGUUUUCGGUAAUUCCGUAGGUAGAGAAAUCAUGUGUUAAGCUUGCUACUCACUUUUGAACGUUCCAUUUUCAUGUUGCCGCGAUUAUUUCGGGUAUCAGAGGUGAUAUACGAUCGUUAAACGACAUACGCAGAUAUAUAUACUUGUGUAGGUUCUCUAGUGCUGAUCGGACUCUAGGGCUCCAUAAGGCCAAAAGUCAUCGCCGGCGAAACUUGUGUCUUCAGGUCGAUUAGGAGAGCUGAUUCGACUGAUCCUACAUUCUGGAAGCAUCGAAUGAUCGAAAUAAAUUGCCGCAAGAUUGAGCCAGGUUAGUGAAUACGUGAGUAGAGUGAAUCAAACACCAAAUAUUGAAGAACAGAAUACAGAAGGUGAACGGGUUAUCAUGUUAUGGACGAAAAGAAUCAGAGAUACAUGUCAUUGCAGUAGUAUUACCCACGUUUAGCAUUAAUCAUAAUGAAUUUGGACAAAUGCUACAAGGACUGCUAUGUACAACGUGUAGAGUAAUCCAAAGGAGUGUAUAGAGUGCGUCAUCUCAUUAUUCAUACUGCAGAGAUAUUACGAGAUCUACUACAUUUAAAGUGUGGAGCAACCCAGAGAAUAGUUAAUUAAGCAGAGACAUCCGAAUAACAUCUCCAUUAUUCGGCGACGUUGGAGGCUGAUCACUUUCACUC